rnacentral:rRNA from 1 species
ACGGGAGGCAGCAGUGGGGAAUAUUGCACAAUGGGGGAAACCCUGAUGCAGCGACGCCGCGUGAGUGAAGAAGUAUUUCGGUAUGUAAAGCUCUAUCAGCAGGAAAGAAAAUGACGGUACCUGACUAAGAAGCCCCGGCUAACUACGUGCCAGCAGCCGCGGUAAUACGUAAGGGGCAAGCGUUAUCCGGAUUUACUGGGUGUAAAGGGAGCGUAGACGGUAAGGCAAGUCUGAAGUGAAAUGCCAGGGCUCAACCCUGGAACUGCUUUGGAAACUGUCCUACUAGAGUGCAGGAGAGGUAAGUGGAAUUCCUAGUGUAGCGGUGAAAUGCGUAGAUAUUAGGAGGAACACCAGUGGCGAAGGCGGCUUACUGGACUGUAACUGACGUUGAGGCUCGAAAGCGUGGGGAGCAAACAGGAUUAGAUACCCUGGUA